ACGGGUGUGGUGAAAUGGUAAACACGUCAUAUUUAGGAUAUGAUAGUAAUAUAAUACUAUGUGGGUUCAAAUCCCACCAUCCGUA